CGCGUAGGCGGCCCGGCAAGUGGUGUGUGAAAUGCCCUGGCUCAACCAGGGAACUGCGCUCCAAACUGCUUGGCUUGAGGACAGUAGAGGAAGCUGGAAUUCCGGGUGUAGCGGCGAAAUGCGUAGAUAUCCGGAGGAACACCGUUGGCGAAGGCGAGCUUCUGGGCUGUUCCUGACGCUGAGGCGCGAAAGCUGGGGGAGCAAACA
rnacentral:rRNA from 1 species